rnacentral:lncRNA from 1 species
UUUAGGAGGCUUUGACAUCUCCUUACAGUUGUGAUAGACCUUUGUAAAAGAUCCUUUUGGUUAUUCCCAUAGUUGUGAAAGGCGUGCCUUAGGUGGUGCGAUGCCACCCACUGGUGCCUCGCCUGACUGUAGGCGUCACCCCUUCAUGGAGGUGCUGACCUCCGGCCAGGCGCGAUGCCCCUAACAGGUGCGCCUCUAUCCUCUGUCAUCUUCUUCUUCUUCUUCGUUUGGUCUGUUCUUUUAAAAAAAGCAGGCCAAAAAACAACGCCGUUUUGGCCUGUUCUUCUUCUAGAACCCAAUAUAUGCUCAUUUUGGACCUGUGAAACACAAAAAAAAAAAAUGCCCCAGCCUCCCGAACAGCAUGAAGAAGAGAAGAAGACGAAGAAGGGGAAAAAUAGAGGAAAAUUUUCAGGCACUUGAUUAUAUUAUAUAAAAAUAUAUAUGUAAAAUAGGAUGUGUCUCACUUCACUAAAGCCUACGCCUUAAGUGUGCCUUGCGCCUCAAGCUCUAGGAGGACUUUGCACCCUGGUGCGCCUUGAGCGUUUUAAAACUAUGGUUAUUCCUUUUGUAGGGUUGACUGGAAAUGACAUAAUAUAUCUUUGAUCCACCAUGAUGCCAAUAUUUGCGUUGUGCUUUGGAACUGUAUCUAGUAGAUACAUUUGGCACUUGUAUCAACAAUAUUUGGCAUGAAACUAGGUGUUACUUUGCAGUGUACUGUAAUUUGAGAAACCUUGUUUCAAUUGUGAGGUGCAGUUUACUUUGUUAAGAUUCCUGAGCCAACAAUGUUCAGUUGAAACUCACAUGAACAAGUGUUAGUGUAUUAUCUACAUAUUUUUGUGCGAUUCCCAAUGUUGAGGUUACAAUCUUGUUGGAGAUGUGCUGGAAAUAAUUGCAGAUUUCUAUUGACUUAGCUUGCUAAGGUCCUUCUCAAGCAUAU